rnacentral:rRNA from 1 species
UGGUCUUAGCUUGCUAAGGCCGAUGGCGACCGGCGCACGGGUGAGUAACGCGUAUCCAACCUGCCUUACACUCUUGGACAGCCUUCUGAAAGGAAGAUUAAUACAAGAUGGCAUCAUGAGUCCGCAUGUUCACAUGAUUAAAGGUAUUUUCCGGUAGACGAUGGGGAUGCGUUCCAUUAGAUAGUAGGCGGGGUAACGGCCCACCUAGUCAACGAUGGAUAGGGGUUCUGAGAGGAAGGUCCCCACAUUGGAACUGAGACACGGUCCAAACUCC